rnacentral:ncRNA from 1 species
GGGUUCGGAACUGCGGGUGCAUUUCCGGAGGAUUUUUAGAUGGUCGGGCCGCCAUCU